rnacentral:rRNA from 1 species
GACGAACCGAGCGAACGUUAUUCGGAAUCACUGGGCUUAAAGGGUGCGUAGGCGGGCCCGUCAGUCAGGGGUGAAAUCCCACGGCCCAACCGUGGAAGUGCCUCUGAUACUGCGGGCCUGGAGGGGGAUAGGGGCGUGCGGAACUUCCGGUGGAGCGGUGAAAUGCGUAGAUAUCGGAAGGAACACCGGUGGCGAAAGCGGCGCGCUGGAUCCCUACUGACGCUGAGGCACGAAAGCCAGGGGAGCAAACAGG